AAAGUCGUAACAAGGUUUCCGUAGGUGAACCUGCGGAAGGAUCAUUAUCGUGGGGGCUUCGGCCUCCUCGAGAUAGAACCCUUGCCUUUUUUGAGUACCUUCGUUUUCCUCGGCAGGCUCGCCUGCCAAUGGGGACCCCAAUAAACCCUUUGUAAUACCUGCAAUCGUCUGACAAAACAAACAAAAAUUAAAACUUUCAACAACGGAUCUCUUGGUUCUG
rnacentral:misc_RNA from 1 species